rnacentral:rRNA from 1 species
GACGAACCGUACGAACGUUAUUCGGAAUUACUGGGCUUAAAGGGUUUGUAGGCGGCCUUGUAAGUCAGGUGUGAAAUCCCUCGGCUUAACCGGGGAACUGCGUCUGAUACUGGAUGGCUUGAGUUUGGGAGAGGGAUGCGGAAUUCCAGGUGUAGCGGUGAAAUGCGUAGAUAUCUGGAGGAACACCGGUGGCGAAGGCGGCAUCCUGGACCAACACUGACGCUGAGUGAGCGAAAGCCAGGGGAGCAAACGGG